CAGCCGCCGCGGUAAUACCGGCGGCCCGAGUGGCGGUCACUCUUAUUGGGCUUAAAGCGUCCGUAGCCGGGUUGGGAAGUCCUCCGGGAAAUCUGGCCGCUUAACGGUCAGAAUGCCGGAGGAUACUCCCAGCCUAGGGAGCGGGAGAGGCCGAGGGUAUUCCCGGAGUAGGGGGGAAAUCCUAUAAUCCCGGGGGGACCACCUGUGGCGAAGGCGCUCGGCUGGAACGCGUCCGACGGUGAGGGACGAAGGCCAGGGGAGCAAACCGGAUUAGAUACCCGGGUAGUCCUGGCUGUAAACGAUGCGGACUUUGUGUCGGACAAGCUAUGAGCUUGUCCGGUGCCGGAGGGAAACCGUUAAGUCCGCCGCCUGGGGAGUACGGCCGCAAGGCUGAAACUUAAAGGAAUUGGCGGG
rnacentral:rRNA from 1 species